CCCCAGACUCCUACGGGAGGCAGCAGUGGGGAAUAUUGCACAAUGGGGGAAACCCUGAUGCAGCGACGCCGCGUGAGUGAAGAAGUAUUUCGGUAUGUAAAGCUCUAUCAGCAGGGAAGAAAAUGACGGUACCUGACUAAGAAGCCCCGGCUAACUACGUGCCAGCAGCCGCGGUAAUACGUAGGGGGCAAGCGUUAUCCGGAUUUACUGGGUGUAAAGGGAGCGUAGACGGCAUGGCAAGUCAGAUGUGAAAGCCCGGGGCUCAACCCCGGGACUGCAUUUGAAACUGUCAGGCUGGAGUGCAGGAGAGGUAAGUGGAAUUCCUAGUGUAGCGGUGAAAUGCGUAGAUAUUAGGAGGAACACCAGUGGCGAAGGCGGCUUACUGGACUGUAACUGACGUUGAGGCUCGAAAGCGUGGGGAGCAAACAGGAUUAGAUACCCGAGUAC
rnacentral:rRNA from 1 species